GGGGCGCUAGCUCAAUUGGUAGAGCAUCUGACUCUUAAUCAGGCGGUUACAGGUUCGAGUCCUGUGCGCCCCACCA
rnacentral:tRNA from 1 species